rnacentral:lncRNA from 1 species
GGCCUUUCUAGGAGCCAGCUUGCUUUCAUCUUACUGUUUUGAUUGUGCCUCACAAGGGACAACACUCCGAUUGUCUAGGAGGAGGAAGGUCAGGGACAGAAAAGUAAAAGCCAGGAGCAGCCUGUCCUGUCUGCCUGGGCUGCUGGGGAAUGAUUGUCAGUGAAUCGAGUUGUCUGUGGAGCCCCUGAGCAAAUUCUCCCAGUGGCAGAUCUCGCAAAAGGGGAGGAAGGCCUUCACCGCUGAACCCGAGCUUUGCCAUUUCGAAGUGCUGAGUCACCUCGUCCUCUCAGGGUCAGACACUUUCACGCAGGAAACGUCCUGCAGAGCACCGCAGCGGGAGCACCGAGCUGACCUGGAAGGAGAGAACAAGGGCCUUCCUGAGGCAGGACAAGGACCCAGAACUACCCAGAAUGCAGCAGGGCGGCCCCGCACGACUGAGCUCUGAUCCUAACCUGCAAAGUGAAGUUUCAAUUUCCACUUCCUGAGAAGGUCAGGUGUAUAGGUGUGAACCAAGUGCACGUCUAGUUCCCUUGGAGGCCAGAAAGAAGGCGGUGUCAGAUCCCCAGGAACCAUAGUUACAGAUGGUUGAUGUGGAAACUCAGAGAGGAUGCCACUGUUUUGAACUAUUUUGAAGGCACAGCCACCAGAGCUUUAGGUCAGAAGAGGUCCUUGGAACUGGAAUUACAGGUGGCUGUGAGCCUCCAGGUAGGUGCUGAGAAUCAAGCAGCCUGGCUCCUCUGUAGGAGCUCUAAGGAAUGCUCUUACCUGCUGAGCCAUCUGUCCAGCCCUGAUUGUCCUGGCUGUUAAUUGAGGAAGGAAGACUUACUCUGAGGGAGGGCUGAGCCAGUCCCCAGGCUGCUCCCUGAAUGGUAUGUAGAGGAGGGGAGCCAGCUAAGCACUGACCAGCGAGGGUGUGCACAUUUUCUUUGGUCUUUGUUUUGAAUGUGGUGUGGCUGGCUGCUUCAAUUCCUGACUUGAUUUCCUCAAAAGGAUAGGCUGUAACCCAGAAUGGUAAACUGCCUU